GACUCUCGGCAACGGAUAUCUCGGCUCUCGCAUCGAUGAAGAACGUAGCGAAAUGCGAUACUUGGUGUGAAUUGCAGAAUCCCGUGAACCAUCGAGUCUUUGAACGCAAGUUGCGCCCGAGGCCGCUCGGCCGAGGGCACGCCUGCCUGGGCGUCA
rnacentral:rRNA from 3 species